CGUAGGUGAACCUGCGGAAGGAUCAUUAUUGUAUAACCGAGGUGCGAGGGCUGUCGCUGACCCGAAAGGUCGUGCACGCCCGAGUGCCCUCACACACAUCCAUCUCACCCCUAUGUGCACCACCGCGUGGGUCCCCCUUUGGCUUGUUCGGAGGGGGGCUUACGUUUUCACACAAACUUUGUAUGCAGUGUAGAAUGUAUUUUUUGUUUUUGCGAUCACGCAAUCAAUACAACUUUCAACAACGGAUCUCUUGGCUCUCGCAUCGAUGAAGACGCAGC
rnacentral:misc_RNA from 1 species